GGUAUCCCAAAAGGUUUAUCAGUGUUGCGUGUGUUGCAUUAUUUAUUUGAAGCCUGUCGAUGUGAAAGUCCAAAGCUGUGGAGCGGAAGUCAAGGAUCUGGACUUGGAGAACCAGCCAUCCCUCCUGACACAGAAACAGCUUGGCUGAUAAUUUUAGACUUUGGUCGUAAGGCCACCAGGUUUUUCGUAUUACAGACCUACUUGAAAGAUGAACUGAGAUAGGACUCUGCAAUGAUGGUUUCAGAUCUGACCAGCAGGUGAGAAACAAGAUGAAGCCCAAGGAUGGCAGUGUGGCUCUUCCUAGAAUUACAUCUGCUAGCAAGCUCAGAACAGACAUCGUCCUCAGCAAGGGUUUUUCCAUUUCUUAGAGCUACAAAAUCUCUGGGAAGAUUGACUAUACAGUUACAGGAAAAUGAUGAAGAAGAUUUGUCUCUGGACGGAAAGACACCAUUGCAACACUUUGAUGAAUCUAUUGACUGUAUGUUUAGUAUUAUGUCUUUUUGCUUUCAUUAAUUCAAUUUUGUUUCAGAAUAUGAAAGAAAUUUGUAUACUUAUGUCUAUAAAUGUGACUGUCUGGAUCAACAAGUCUUUUUAUCCCUCAGUCACAUGUAUUCUGAUCAAGAUAACUUGUUAAGCUUUUCUUAAAAUGAGGUAUUGCUAAUGCUUUGGACAGAGGUUAUAUAGCACAUUCUUUAAUGCAAAUAUCUUUCUCCAUGAUUGUUUUCCACACUGUUAACAUAAAUCAUAUCUAAUAAUCAAAUCUAAUAAUAUCUAUUUAAUUUCACUUCAUUGAGAUCAUCCAUUCUGGUUAACAAUAGGUUUUCAGCAAUGUAGUACGUCAGAAUUUAUCGUAUUCUUAGUAAGUAAAUAAUAUGCAAAGCUAGUAAUAUUCCUUUAAUGUAUAUUUGAAUGGCUGCAUACUUUCAUAACUUUCUUACCAUUCUCACCAAGUAGACAAAUAAACACUCAUUCUUUAAAGAGGCUUCUAAAAGCUUUUGAAAUUUUAAUUACACAUUUAGUGGAUUUAUUCAUUCUGUUAGUAUUCCACAGCUGAAGUAAAGAAAAUUAACAACUGUAGAAAAAAAUAG